AGGCAACUGAAUCUUAGAGCUGAAACGACUAGAUAGAGGUCCCAGAAUUCACAAGCAGCGGAGUGGAGCAUCGAAUUCAGUGCCAUGUAAAGUGUUCAGCUUCACAAAGAGCUGUCAUUUUAAGAGCAUCAGGAAAAAAUAAAUGAGCUGCACCUGCAAACACCUUAUCGCCACGUAAACUAGGAGCUAUAUAUCCAUGUAUGAAUCAUAGUGUCAGGAGUGGAGAACAGGUUUAACUGACAACUACGCAAUGAUCAGAAGUUCAAAUUGCUCUACAUUUCUUAAAGAAGGGCAAAGAAUAAGAAGAGGGGAGGAGGUGCUGUCACGAUAGCAUUGCCAAGAUAUGACCUUAGUCACUUUGUGUGUUAUAAGAGGAGGUCUUCAUCAUAAUUUUGGAGAUGGUUAUCACCUUCACCUGUGUGGUCCUGCGUAUAAAUCUAGAAAGAAUGACCCAAAACAAUUUUCACCAUGAUUCUGAAACAUCUUGAAGUAAAAACAGACUUCAGUUUUGAAACUUUGUGCAUAAUGAAAAAUAGGACACUGGUAUCACAAGAAAGAGUAAUGGAAACAAUUCUGGGAUUUACUGAUGAUGGAGUUGUUCAGGAUUCAGUGCCUCUUUUCAGGGUCCAAAUCACCUCUUCCAGCAGAGCAAAAGCUGAAAGUUCAAAGCCAACUUGAAGGAGCUCUACCAUUGACCAGCCGAAGUUCACAAACGUCCAAAUAGCUUCCUCAUCUGUAAAAUGGGAUUCUUACAGAACUCGUCCUGUAGGAGUCAAGAAGAACCAACUGCAGUAUGGCAUGCUAAACACACAGCACAUGCAUGGCACUUU